rnacentral:rRNA from 1 species
GACGAACGCUGGCGGCGUGCUUAACACAUGCCAGUCGAACGGAAAGGCCCUGCUUUUGUGGGGUGCUCGAGUGGCGAACGGGUGAGUAACACGUGAGUAACCUGCCCUUGACUUUGGGAUAACUUCAGGAAACUGGGGCUAAUACCGGAUAGGAGCUCCUGCUGCAUGGUGGGGGUUGAAAAGUUUCGGCGGUUGGGGAUGGACUCGCGGCUUAUCAGCUUGUUGGUGGGGUAGUGGCUUACCAAGGCUUUGACGGGUAGCCGGCCUGAGAGGGUGACCGGCCACAUUGGGACUGAGAUACGGCCCAGACUCCUACGGGAGGCAGCAGUGGGGAAUAUUGCACAAUGGGCGGAAGCCUGAUGCAGCAACGCCGCGUGCGGGAUGACGGCCUUCGGGUUGUAAACCGCUUUCGCCUGUGACGAAGCGUGAGUGACGGUAAUGGGUAAAGAAGCACCGGCUAACUACGUG